CGAAUCGCCCUUACUCCUACGGGAGGCAGCAGUGGGGAAUUUUCCGCAAUGGGCGAAAGCCUGACGGAGCAAUACCGCGUGAGGGAGGAAGGCUCUUGGGUUGUAAACCUCUUUUCUCAGGGAAGAAAAAAAUGACGGUACUUGAGGAAUAAGCAUCGGCUAACUCCGUGCCAGCAGCCGCGGUAAUACGGAGGAUGCAAGCGUUAUCCGGAAUGAUUGGGCGUAAAGGGUCCGCAGGUGGCUAUGUAAGUCUGCUGUUAAAGAACCUAGCUUAACUAGGUAAAAGCAGUGGAAACUACAAGGCUGGAGUGCGUUCGGGGUAGAGGGAAUUCCUGGUGUAGCGGUGAAAUGCGUAGAUAUCAGGAAGAACACCAGUGGCGAAGGCGCUCUACUAGGCCGCAACUGACACUGAGGGACGAAAGCUAGGGGAGCGAAUGGGAUUAGAUACCCCAGUAGUCCUAGCCGUAAACGAUGGAUACUAGGCGUGGCUUGUAUCGACCCAAGCCGUGCCGGAGCUAACGCGUUAAGUAUCCCGCCUGGGGAGUACGCACGCAAGUGUGAAACUCAAAGGAAUUGACGGGGGCCCGCACAAGCGGUGGAGUAUGUGGUUUAAUUCGAUGCAACGCGAAGAACCUUACCAAGACUUGACAUGUCGCGAAUCUCUCUGAAAGGAGAGAGUGCCUUCGGGAGCGCGAACACAGGUGGUGCAUGGCUGUCGUCAGCUCGUGUCGUGAGAUGUUGGGUUAAGUCCCGCAACGAGCGCAACCCUCGUUUUUAGUUGCCAGCAUUAAGUUGGGCACUCUAGAGAGACUGCCGGUGACAAACCGGAGGAAGGUGGGGAUGACGUCAAGUCAGCAUGCCCCUUACGUCUUGGGCUACACACGUACUACAAUGCUACGGACAAAGGGCAGCUACACAGCAAUGUGAUGCAAAUCUCACAAAACCGUAGCUCAGUUCAGAUCGCAGGCUGCAACUCGCCUGCGUGAAGUCGGAAUCGCUAGUAAUCGCAGGUCAGCAUACUGCAGUGAAUUCGUUCCCGGGCCUUGUACACACCGCCCGUCACACCAUGGAAGCUGGUCACGCCCGAAGUCGUUACCCCAACUGUUCGCAGAGGGGGAUGCCGAAGGCAGGACUGGUGACUGGGGUGAAGUCGUAACAAGGUAGCCGUACCGGAAGGUGUGGCUGGAUCACCUCCUUUUAGGGAGACCGAAUCCACUCAAACAUCGAAAGCAAAUUGCAAUUAGAUAAUGAGUUGGUCAUUCCUAGGUCGUUCGAGAAUUGGUGAAAACUUUCAAAGUAUUUUUGGUUCAGUUCAUUCAUAAACAUUUAAAUCUUUAAUUGGAAUACAAAUUCAGCAAUUGAUUGUUUAGUACAAUCGAACUGCUGGGUGAUUAUCCAGCCAGAACCUUGAAAACUGCAUAGUAACGCGAAAAAAAGCAGGCAGUGAAAAAAGUCAAAAGUCAAAAGUCAAAAACUGGAAACUGAGACAAAAGACAAAAAACUGCAUGGAGAAACCAAUGUAAAUGUGGUCAAGCUAAUAAGGGCUUACGGUGGAUACCUWGGCACACAGAGGCGADG
rnacentral:sRNA from 1 species